rnacentral:rRNA from 1 species
UAGGGAAUCUUCCACAAUGGACGCAAGUCUGAUGGAGCAACGCCGCGUGAGCGAAGAAGGUUUUCGGACCGUAAAGCUCUGUUGUUGGUGAAGAAGGAUAGAGGUAGUAACUGGCCUUUAUUUGACGGUAAUCAACCAGAAAGUCACGGCUAACUACGUGCCAGCAGCCGCGGUAAUACGUAGGUGGCAAGCGUUGUCCGGAUUUAUUGGGCGUAAAGCGAGCGCAGGCGGAAGAAUAAGUCUGAUGUGAAAGCCCUCGGCUUAACCGAGGAAUUGCAUCGGAAACUGUUUUUCUUGAGU